rnacentral:rRNA from 1 species
GUCUUUUUGAGUUUAAUUUAAAGUCUAAUCUGCCCACUGAUAAAUAUUUAAGGGCCGCAGUAUUCUGACUGUGCAAAGGUAGCAUAAUCAUUAGUCUUUUAAUUGAGGGCUUGUAUGAAUGAUUGGACGAGAUAUAAGCUGUCUCAUAGGAAUUUAAGUAGAAUUUUAUUUUUUAGUUAAAAAGCUAAAAUAAUUUUAAAAGACGAGAAGACCCUAUAGAUCUUUAUAAUUUAUUUUUAAAUUUUUUGGGGUUAUUUUUUAAAUUUAUAAAUUAAAUUAUUUUGUUGGGGUGACAAUGAAAUUUAAUAAACUUUCAUUAUUUAGAAACAUUAAUUUAUGAUUAAUUGAUCCACUUUUAGUGAUUAAAAAUUUAAGUUACCUUAGGGAUAACAGCGUAAUUAUUUUAGAGAGUUCUUAUCGAUAAAAUAGUUUGCGACCUCGAUGUUGGAUUAAGAUUAAUUUUGGGUGUAGCAGCUCAGUUUAUUAAGUCUGUUCGACUUUUAAUUUCUU